rnacentral:rRNA from 1 species
GACGAACGCUGGCGGCGUGCUUAACACAUGCAAGUCGAGCGGUAAGGCCCUUUCGGGGGUACACGAGCGGCGAACGGGUGAGUAACACGUGGGUGACCUGCCUUCAGCUCUGGGAUAAGCCUGGGAAACUGGGUCUAAUACUGGAUAUUACUCUGCGGUGCAUGCCGUGGGGUGGAAAGCCCUGUGCGGCUGGGGAUGGGCCCGCGGCCUAUCAGCUUGUUGGUGGGGUGAUGGCCUACCAAGGCGACGACGGGUAGCCGGCCUGAGAGGGCGACCGGCCACACUGGGACUGAGACACGGCCCAGACUCCUACGGGAGGCAGCAGUGGGGAAUCUUGCGCAAUGGGCGAAAGCCUGACGCAGCGACGCCGCGUGAGGGAUGACGGCCUGG